rnacentral:rRNA from 1 species
GACCUACGGGACGCAGCAGUGAGGAAUAUUGGUCAAUGGGCGGGAGCCUGAACCAGCCAAGCCGCGUGAGGGAAGAAGGUACAGCGUAUCGUAAACCUCUUUUGUCAGGGAACAAAGGCGGGGACUAGUCCCCGGAUGAGGGUACCUGAAGAAAAAGCAUCGGCUAACUCCGUGCCAGCAGCCGCGGUAAUACGGAGGAUGCGAGCGUUAUCCGGAUUUAUUGGGUUUAAAGGGAGCGUAGACGGAGGAGCAAGUCUGAUGUGAAAAUCCGGGGCCCAACCCCGGAACUGCAUUGGAAACUGUUU